ACGAACGCUGGCGGCGUGCCUAAUACAUGCAAGUCGAACGCUUCUUUUUCCACCGGAGCUUGCUCCACCGGAAAAAGAGGAGUGGCGAACGGGUGAGUAACACGUGGGUAACCUGCCCAUCAGAAGGGGAUAACACUUGGAAACAGGUGCUAAUACCGUAUAACAAUCGAAACCGCAUGGUUUUGAUUUGAAAGGCGCUUUCGGGUGUCGCUGAUGGAUGGACCCGCGGUGCAUUAGCUAGUUGGUGAGGUAACGGCUCACCAAGGCGACGAUGCAUAGCCGACCUGAGAGGGUGAUCGGCCACAUUGGGACUGAGACACGGCCCAAACUCCUACGGGAGGCAGCAGUAGGGAAUCUUCGGCAAUGGACGAAAGUCUGACCGAGCAACGCCGCGUGAGUGAAGAAGGUUUUCGGAUCGUAAAACUCUGUUGUUAGAGAAGAACAAGGAUGAGAGUAACUGUUCAUCCCUUGACGGUAUCUAACCAGAAAGCCACGGCUAACUACGUGCCAGCAGCCGCGGUAAUACGUAGGUGGCAAGCGUUGUCCGGAUUUAUUGGGCGUAAAGCGAGCGCAGGCGGUUUCUUAAGUCUGAUGUGAAAGCCCCCGGCUCAACCGGGGAGGGUCAUUGGAAACUGGGAGACUUGAGUGCAGAAGAGGAGAGUGGAAUUCCAUGUGUAGCGGUGAAAUGCGUAGAUAUAUGGAGGAACACCAGUGGCGAAGGCGGCUCUCUGGUCUGUAACUGACGCUGAGGCUCGAAAGCGUGGGGAGCAAACAGGAUUAGAUACCCUGGUAGUCCACGCCGUAAACGAUGUCGACUUGGAGGUUGUGCCCUUGAGGCGUGGCUUCCGGAGCUAACGCGUUAAGUCGACCGCCUGGGGAGUACGGCCGCAAGGUUAAAACUCAAAUGAAUUGACGGGGGCCCGCACAAGCGGUGGAGCAUGUGGUUUAAUUCGAAGCAACGCGAAGAACCUUACCAGGUCUUGACAUCCUUUGACCACUCUAGAGAUAGAGCUUCCCCUUCGGGGGCAAAGUGACAGGUGGUGCAUGGUUGUCGUCAGCUCGUGUCGUGAGAUGUUGGGUUAAGUCCCGCAACGAGCGCAACCCUUAUUGUUAGUUGCCAUCAUUUAGUUGGGCACUCUAGCAAGACUGCCGGUGACAAACCGGAGGAAGGUGGGGAUGACGUCAAAUCAUCAUGCCCCUUAUGACCUGGGCUACACACGUGCUACAAUGGGAAGUACAACGAGUCGCAAAGUCGCGAGGCUAAGCUAAUCUCUUAAAGCUUCUCUCAGUUCGGAUUGUAGGCUGCAACUCGCCUACAUGAAGCCGGAAUCGCUAGUAAUCGCGGAUCAGCACGCCGCGGUGAAUACGUUCCCGGGCCUUGUACACACCGCCCGUCACACCACGAGAGUUUGUAACACCCGAAGUCGGUGAGGUAACCUUUUGGAGCCAGCCGCCUAAGGUGGGAUAGAUGAUUGGGGUG
rnacentral:rRNA from 1 species